GUGCUCACUUCUGCAGCACAUGUACUGACAGCAGAACAAUACAGAGAGCAUGGCCCCUGUGCAAGGAUGACAUGAAAAUUCUAUAUUUUU
rnacentral:snRNA from 1 species